CAAGGUGCAUCAGACUAAACAU
rnacentral:piRNA from 1 species